rnacentral:rRNA from 1 species
CCUACGGGAGGCAGCAGUGAGGAAUAUUGGUCAAUGGGCGUAAGCCUGAACCAGCCAAGUCGCGUGAGGGAAGAAGGUUCUAUGGAUUGUAAACCUCUUUUGUCGGGGAACAAAGGUAUCCACGUGUGGCUGUUUGCAGGUACCCUAAGAAUAAGCAUCGGCUAACUCCGUGCCAGCAGCCGCGGUAAUACGGAGGAUGCGAGCGUUAUCCGGAUUUAUUGGGUUUAAAGGGUGCGCAGGCGGGCGGUUAAGUCAGCGGUAAAAGGCCGGGGCUCAACCCCGGCCCGCCGUUGAAACUGGCAGUCUCGAGUGGGAGAGAAGUAUGCGGAAUGCGCGGUGUAGCGGUGAAAUGCAUAGAUAUCGCGCAGAACUCCGAUUGCGAAGGCAGCAUGCCGGCUCCACACUGACGCUGAGGCACGAAAGCGUGGGUAUCGAACAGGAUUAGAUACCCUGGUAGUC